rnacentral:rRNA from 1 species
UACGUAGGCAGCAAGCGUUGUUCGGAAUUACUGGGCGUAAAGAGUGUGUAGGCGGUGCUCUAAGUUCGGUGUGAAAUCUCCCGGCUUAACUGGGAGGGUGCGCCGGAAACUGGAGUGCUCGAGCGUGGGAGAGGAAAGCGGAAUUCCUGGCGUAGCGGUGAAAUGCGUAGAUAUCAGGAGGAACACCUGCGGUGUAGACGGCUUUCUGGACCAUUGCUGACGCUGAGACACGAAAGCGUGGGUAGCAAACAGG